GCAGGGGCAAUUUAUGCAUAUCGUAGCUGCCGACAGUUGCAUCAAGAGCACAAAUACAAACACGGCAUUUAGUUGUGUUGGCAAUGUGUUUGGUAACGCGAAAAGCAGCUGUUCACCACUUAUCGACUAUCGAUAAACGGCAUACCAUUAACAGUGACUAGA